GACGAACGCUGGCGGCGUGCCUAAUACAUGCAAGUCGAACGCAGUGGGGACGGGUGAGUAACACGUGGGUAACCUCCCAUCAGAGGGGAUAACACUUGGAAACAGGUGCUAAACCGAUACUGAUGGAUGGACCCGCGGUGCAUUAGCUAGUUGGUGAGGUAACGGCUCACCAAGGCCACGAUGAAUAGCCAACCGUAGAGGAGGAUCGGCCACACGGGGACUGAGACACGGCCCAGAGUCCUGCGGGAGGCAGCAGUAGGGAAUCGUCGGCAAUGGACGAAAGUCGGACAGAGCAACGCCGCGUGAGUGAAGAGGGUUUUCGGAUCGUAAAACUCUGUUGUUAGAGAAGCGGGCUCUAACCAGAAAGCCACGGCUAACUACGUGCCAGCAGCCGCGGUAAUAC
rnacentral:rRNA from 1 species